rnacentral:rRNA from 1 species
AGAAGCAGCCAUCAUUUAAAGAGUGCGUAAUAGCUCACUAGUCGAGUGACACUGCGCCGAAAAUGUACCGGGGCUAAACAUAUUACCGAAGCUGUGGAUUGUCCUUUGGACAAUGGUAGGAGAGCGUUCUAAGGGCGUUGAAGCAUGAUCGUAAGGACAUGUGGAGCGCUUAGAAGUGAGAAUGCCGGUGUGAGUAGCGAAAGACGGGUGAGAAUCCCGUCCACCGAUUGACUAAGGUUUCCAGAGGAAGGCUCGUCCGCUCUGGGUUAGUCGGGUCCUAAGCUGAGGCCGACAGGCGUAGGCGAUGGAUAACAGGUUGAUAUUCCUGUACCACCUAUAAUCGUUUUAAUCGAUGGGGGGACGCAGUAGGAUAGGCGAAGCGUGCGAUUGGAUUGCACGUCUAAGCAGUAAGGCUGAGUAUUAGGCAAAUCCGGUACUCAUUAAGGCUGAGCUGUGAUGGGGAGAAGACAUUGUGUCUUCGAGUCGUUGAUUUCACACUGCCGAGAAAAGCCUCUAGAUAGAAAAUAGGUGCCCGUACCGCAAACCGACACAGGUAGUCAAGAUGAGAAUUCUAAGGUGAGCGAGCGAACUCUCGUUAAGGAACUCGGCAAAAUGACCCCGUAACUUCGGGAGAAGGGGUGCUCUUUAGGGUUAACGCCCAGAAGAGCCGCAGUGAAUAGGCCCAAGCGACUGUUUAUCAAAAACACAGGUCUCUGCUAAACCGUAAGGUGAUGUAUAGGGGCUGACGCCUGCCCGGUGCUGGAAGGUUAAGA